GCGAGCCUGAGCCUCGCAUACGCUACAAUGGGAACCGAGUACGGAGAAAACCAGCAUGGCUCCCGCGCGAGGCUGACUCAAACAUUCGCGAAGCAUUCCAUAUUUAA
ensembl:snRNA U6 U6 spliceosomal RNA